CCCUUAGAUGUUCUGGGCCGCACACGCGCUACACUGAAGGAGGCAGCGUGUACUCCUGGAUCGAAAGAUUUGGGUAACCCGCGAAUCUCCUUCGUGCUAGGGAUUGAGGUUUGCAAUUAUCCUUCAUGAACGAGGAAUUCCCAGUAAGUGCAAGUCAUAAGCUUGCGCUGACUACGUCCCUGCCCUUUGUACACACCGCCCGUCGCUACUACCGAUUGAAUGAUUUAGUGAGGACUUCGGACUGGGACCGAUGCGGCUUUCGGGCUGCGUCGGUAUUCUGGAAAGAUGUCCAAACUGUCUCAUUUAGAGGAAGUAAAANUCGUAACA
rnacentral:rRNA from 1 species